rnacentral:tmRNA from 1 species
GGGGCUGCACUGGUUUCGACGUGGGUUCGGACGCGCAGCAGGGCAUGUCGAGGUUCUGUCACCUCGUAAAACAGCAGAAAAAACCUAACUGCAAACGACGAACGUUUCGCACUCGCCGCUUAAUUGCGCGUGAGCCUCGCAACAGCAAGCCAAUAGGCUGGGCAAGGGUUGUAAUUCCGUAAGGUUUUACAGUCCAGGCUGCGGGGUAAUUUUAUUUGGCUGGGAGGGCACUGGGUAACUUAGUACUCUUCGAGAAAAUAGGUUGCUGGCGUUUUGCAUAGCGUGCCACUGCGCGAUGUAAAAGGCGAGACUUAAACCAGACGGCUACACAUGUAGAACUGUUCGAAGAAGGCUUGCGGACGGGGGUUCAAAUCCCCCCAGCUCCACCA